AUACGGAGGGUGCAAGCGUUACUCGGAAUCACUGGGCGUAAAGCGCGCGCAGGCGGUUUUUUAAGUUGGAUGUGAAAUCCUAUAGCUUAACUAUAGAACUGCAUCCAAAACUAUUAGACUAGAGUCUGGGAGAGGUAAGUGGAACUAGUUGUGUAGGGGUAAAAUCCGUAGAGAUAACUAGGAAUACCAAAAGCGAAGGCAACUUACUGGAACAGUACUGACGCUGAGGCGCGAAAGCGUGGGGAGCAAACAGGAUUAGAAACCCCAGUAGUCC
rnacentral:rRNA from 1 species